CCGAAACCACAUCUGCGCCGCCCAUCCCGGCGUCGUCCGCACGUCUCCAUCCUCUGCCUCGCGGCACGUCUGCAUGUUUUAACAUGCAAGCAGCAUCCUACUGCCGGAUUCAGAUCGUAGCUCGCCGGCCGGUCAACGUCGUCCAGGUCUCCAUCUUCGACCAGCUCAAUUUCUAUCGUGCCCGCACCUGAUCAACAUCUGCCUCGUAGAUCAUCUGUUGGGUCCCAUCCGUAAGUGUAUUGGGCUAUUUUUCCUCCGGUGAGAAAAGUAUCAGCAUCCAGUACCAGUCAGCUUCUUCUUUGGUCCCGCAG